UUAUAAAUUUGGGAAAGCCAGACAUGCACUCGAAAUAGUUUAAGAGGCCUCCACAGAGGACAAGAUGCGUAUUGAAUUUCAAACUGGAUCAUACGAUAAAUUUGCUAAAUCUUUAACAGCUCGACCCGUGUUGCGUGCGGUUGACAGUACUUGGACAAGUGUUACGUCUUACGGUCAUCUCCGGCCAUACCAUUAAUUAGAAUAUGAACGGGAAACUUUGCGACGAUUAUAUCUCACUGGCAUAUUUUCAUCGACGUAAGAAUUCCUGAUGUCACGAAUUAAUAUUGCUCGCUGUCCCACAUGGUACCAUAUGACGGCUAUUAUUUUAGAGUUCUGUUUGCCAUAGAACGUUGGCAUGUGCCUGGCUGUGGCACUGUCGUUAAGCUAUUCAUUCUAACAAAAUUUGUGGCAGUUACACGGGGAGUGGGAGAAUUCCGAAGGUAGUUCAAUCGACGCGAUGCGGCAUUAAAAUAUGUAUAUGCAACAAAACCAGCCACAUUGGACGACCUCAAGCGAUUCCAUAACGCAAAAGAUUGAAAACAUUCCACAGAAUGUGCUAUUGCAGACUUCAGCUGUUGAAAUGGAAUCCAUCAGCGUGAACUGGAACGGCGAGACGUGUGAAAACUCUAGAGAAGUCUGCAUGACAUGCAACAGAAAACAACUGUUGCAGCACAUCACCUAAGUGAAGAACAAACCAUGGCAGUCUCUUGAG